rnacentral:rRNA from 1 species
AGUACCCUGUCCGCAGCUACGCGUGUAAUACGGAGGGGUCAGGGUGUGCCCGGUGUGAUUGGCCGUAAAGCCGGUGUAGCCGGCCUGGCAGGUCCGCUGGUGAAACUCGAGGCUCAACCUCGAGCUGUCGUGUGAAACCGCGUUGCUAGAGGCCGGAAGAGGAUACUGGAAUUCCCGGUGUAGCGGUGGAAUGCGCAGAUAUCGGGAGGAACACCCGUGGCGAAGGCGGGUCUCUGGGACGGUACUGACGCUGAGACGCGAAAGCGUGGGGAGCGAACAGGAUUAGAUACCCCGGUAGUC